GGUCAAGCUCUUUAGAGCUCCCGGAAAUCAGACAAUAUCUGCCUGCAGAGGCCAGUCCUGCUCCAGGGCCCCCAGCGUGGAGGGGACUUUCAUCAGAAGAUCUUUUCCUAUCCAGGCAGGAAUCUAAGUGACCGUCCGGUGUGAAACAACGAAGCCAGCAAAAAGCAAUAGGAAGGAGAGCCGACCUCAGAGUUCAGAAGAUAAGCGGGGGAACAAAAUGAAUACGUGAACUUGGGGAAAACAGGCUGAGCCUGAAGCCCUGGGCAAGGUUCUCUGGGGAAAAGGGGAUGACACUGACCUUGGCCUUCAUGCUCUCGGGAG
rnacentral:lncRNA from 1 species